GAGAAUGUAGCAUAGUGGUUUGGGUGCUGGACUAGGAUUCUGGAAGACCAGGGUUUGGAUCCCUGUUUGGUCA